rnacentral:lncRNA from 1 species
UUUUACCCCAAUUUCACGGUUCACUGAACAUAGAAAAUGAUAGUGCAAAUUUCAGGUUAAAGUUUUUGGUCAAGGUAGUUUUUGAUGAAGUUGAAGUCCAAUCAACUUGAAAAUUAGUAUACAUGUUCCCUGUGAUAUGAUCUUUCUAAUUUGAAUGCCCAAUUAGAGUUUUUACCCCAAUUUCACGGUCCACUAAACACAGAAAAUGAUAGUGCGAGUGGGGCAUCCGUGUUCUAUGGAC